CUACGGGUUGCUCCAGUGAGGAAUAUUGCACAAUGGGGGGAACCCUGAUGCAGCAACGCCGCGUGGAGGAUGACGCAUUUCGGUGUGUAAACUCCUUUUAUAUGUCAAGAAAAUGACGGUAGCAUAUGAAUAAGCACCGGCUAACUCCGUGCCAGCAGCCGCGGUAAUACGGAGGGUGCAAGCGUUACUCGGAAUCACUGGGCGUAAAGGACGCGUAGGCGGGUUGGAAAGUCAGGUGUGAAAUCCUACAGCUCAACUGUAGAACUGCACUUGAAACUUCUAAUCUAGAGUAUGGGAGGGGGAGAUGGAAUUAGUGGUGUAGGGGUAAAAUCCGUAGAUAUCACUAGGAAUACCUAAAGCGAAGGCGAUCUCCUGGAACAUUACUGACGCUAAGGCGUGAAAGCGUGGGGAGCAAACAGGAUUAGAUACCCUUGUAGUC
rnacentral:rRNA from 1 species